rnacentral:tRNA from 1 species
GGAGAGGUGUCCGAGUGGUUUAAGGAGCUGGUCUUGAAAACCAGUGAUAC